GGGCUGAUCGUCCAACGGGAAGACACCGCCCUGGCGUGGCGGCCAGUGUUCCAAAAGACGCGGCGGGUUCGAUUCCCGGUCGGUCCA
rnacentral:tRNA from 1 species